rnacentral:lncRNA from 1 species
CGGCAUAUGGAGGUUCCCAGGCUGGGGGUCCAAUCGGAGCUGUAGCCGCCAACCUACACAAGAGCCACAGCAGUGUGGGAUCCAAGCCACGUCUGUGGCCUACACCACAGCUCACAGCAAUGCUGGGUCCUUAACCCACUGAGCGAGGGCAGGGACCGAACCCGCAACCUCAUGGUUCCUAGUCGGAUUCGUUAACCACUGCGCCACGACGGGAACUCCAGAGAUAAUAUUUUUAUAGGUCAUUAGAGACCACUCUGAGAUUGACAGAUACCAGAUAUAUUUCUUUAUUUUUUUUUACAUAUAUAUAUAUGUGUGUGUAUAUGUGUAUACAUAUAUAUGUGUGUGUGUGUGUGUGUGUGUGUGUGUCCUUUUAAAAUAUUCUCUUCCAUCGUGGUCCAUCCCAGGAGAUUGGAUGGAGUGCCCUGUUGGGACCUUGCUCUUUAUCCAGUCUACAUACCAUAGUUGGCAUCUACUGACCUCAAAUCCCCAGCUGAUCCCACUCCCUCUUUCUGAAUCUACAGGCAGAAUCCUGAGGCGUCUCCCAUCACUCAAGCCUGUUCAGUAUGUUGAAGUUUCUCUGAUGUUAGUGUUCGGGAACUUGAUCCAAAUAAGGUUUAUAAUUCCCCUUUCAUGGUCUUUCUCCCUGAGACUGUGAGAAACUAAAACAGCAGUGGCCCACCUUGUCCACCUCGGUCAUGGCUGUAUCCCUGGUUGUUAGCACAGGUUCCGGCAUAUGUAAGUGUUCAAACAGCUUUUGAACACGGAUGAACGAAUUAGUCACAUACGGCUUAGAAGGCUAAGUAAACGAGAUAAGCUGAUGCUCUGGGGGGAAGCAUUGGCUAAAGGGCGCUUUCCUUGGGGUUGGGAUUUGUCAUCGACGCCAAGCUUUCUCUCACUUCCUCUGUGCUGAAGGCGGUCCUGUUGGAAGGUGUGUGCAUCAAACAAGAACAUCUAAUUGCUCUGACUGAAAUAAUUUCAACUCGACACAAGCCGUUUUCAAGAAGUUGAAAUACUUCCUGGAGCCUGCAGUUUUUAUCGAGGUGUGGAACCUGGCCCUUAAAAGCAGGCUGGGCUGUGGCCCAAUGGGUGUGGGAUUGGGGCAGCAAAUCACACGGGGUCUUCCUACAGCAACGUCCUGAUCCAAGAGGAGUUAGGCGAAAGGAACAAGCACGGCCUCAGUGGAGCCCUAGGCUGCCGUCAGGGCAGGUAUGGGGAGCAAGACAUGUGAUCCCGUAGCUCUGACUUGGUAAAAGUGGGUCUGAUGACUGGCGUGAGGAACCUUGUGCCCUAAGCCAUAGCUGACAGAGCUGCCCACUCCCAACAUGAGCGCAUGGAAGCUGGAGGCUUGUCAGUCUUGAAAGCAUCCUGGGGACUGUCCCUGGAGCUGGCAGUCACUUACCUGUAGCUUGGCAGCUGUGCCUUCCAUGCUAGAGAGGGUUACCCUAAGUUUUUAAGAUAAAAUACUGCAGAAAACAGGAAAAUACAGUGAGAAGAACUCUGGGUCCUAGGAGGGUAGCAGAGUGCAAAGAGCUUGUUUUGUUUUCUGCAUAUGCAUAGGAAGACCUGAGUUCAGUUCCUAACCCUGCCAGGGUUUAGCGCCACGUCCUUACGCAAAUGUUGAGCCUCAGUCUUUUCAUCUGUGAAAAGGAAGAGCCAUGACCUCCGAGCUGUGAGACUCAGCCAAGGUGGCAGAUAGAAAAGCCCUUUGUGAACUGCCAGGUGCAGGCUCAGUAUGAGGCAUUGCUACAACAGGAGCUCCGUGAGCACAGGGCCGUGGUCUUCUGCCCUUGGUGUAUGUGGUACUUCAUUGCUGUGAUAGCCUAGGGAAAUACCCAGCUGAAAGAAAAGAAGGAUGUUCCUUACACAGCCCGAAGCAAAAUAAAAAGAGCUUCAAAUUACAUUAUAUAAUUCCUUUUAAUUAUGAAGAAAAACAUUUUGCAAGCACAUAUUUGAAAACAUAAAAUCUCAGUGGGUAGGAAUCUUUAGAAUAUCAAAAAGAAAAAAAAAAUCACUUCGGAACAUGCUUAAGGCCCUAAGCUGUAAGGCUCUAGGUGAGCCUUUAAUUCUGCGUGAAUGUUUCUGUUGCUCUCCCUGGAGUCUCUCGCUGGCUCUGGUCAAGGCCCUUGUGGGCUUUGCUGGUAAACAGGAACAAAAGGUACACAAGUGUGGUUCUAGUUCAUUGGAGGGAAAAUAAUGCAGGGUGUUGUGGCUGAUAAAUUACUCACGACUUCCUUUGCUGUGAGAUGGUGCACUCACUGGAGGAAAAUUGGUUAAAGUGUGGAUCUGUGUGUACCUGUGUUUUCUGUGCCCAGGAAGUAAGGACACAGUCAGACCUCUUGCCUUGAAAAGGCUUUCUUCCCC